UGCCUACGGGACGCAGCAGUGAGGAAUAUUGGUCAAUGGGCGAGAGCCUGAACCAGCCAAGUCGCGUGAGGGAGUACUGCCCUAUGGGUUGUAAACCUCUUUUGUCGGGGAACAAAGGCGCCCACGGGUGGGCGGAUGAGUGUACCCGAAGAAAAAGCAUCGGCUAACUCCGUGCCAGCAGCCGCGGUAAUACGGAGGAUGCGAGCGUUAUCCGGAUUUAUUGGGUUUAAAGGGUGCGUAGGCGGUCUGUUAAGUCAGCGGUAAAAUUGCGGGGCUCAACCCCGUCAAGCCGUUGAAACUGGCAG
rnacentral:rRNA from 1 species